rnacentral:rRNA from 1 species
AACGAACGCUGGCGGCAGGCUUAACACAUGCAAGUCGAACGCACCUUUCGGGGUGAGUGGCAGACGGGGGAGUAACGCGUGGGAAUCUACCCUUCUCUACGGGAUAGCUCCGGGAAACUGGAAUUAAUACCGUAUACGUCCCGAGGGUGAAAGAUUUAUCGGGGAAGGAUGAGCGCGCGUUGGAUUAGCUAGUUGGUGGGGUAAAGGCCUACCAAGGCGACGAUCCAUAGCUGGUCUAAGAGGAUGAUCAGCCACAUUGGGACUGAGACACGGCCCAAACUCCUACGGAAGGCAGGAGUGGGGAAUAUUGGACAAUGGGGGCAAGCCUGAUCCAGCCAUGCCGCGUGAGUGAUGAAGGCCCUAGGGUUGUAAAGCUCUUUCAGUGGGGACGAUAAUGACGGUACCCACAGAAGAAGCCCCGGCUAACUUCGUG